GUGCUCAAUUUGGCAGCACAUAUACUAAAAUUGGAGUGACACAGAGAUUAGCACAGCCCCUGUGUGAAGUUGACAUGCAGACUCCUGACGUGCUCCAUAUUUUC
rnacentral:snRNA from 1 species